UGUGGUGGUUGUGCAGCUGUGUUUUCGCCUUGCAUGCAGGGUGACUACGAGGAAAGUCCGGACUCCAUAUAGACACGGUGCUGGGUAAUGACCAGCGGGAGGAAUCGUAAAGGUUUCUUUCAGGGAUAGUGCAGCAGAAAUUUAUACCGCCUUAUUUAGGGGCAACUUUAUUUGAGGUAAGGGUGAAAUGGUGCGGUAAGAGCGCACCGGGCUUUUGGUGACAAAAGUCGCUUAUGAAAACCCCAUCGGGAGCAAGACCAAAUAGGCGUUGAUUCGACUUAUUUAUUUAAGUCACUGGCCCGUCUAUAGUCAGAUAUCACGCGGGUAGGUCGCUUGAGGUAAAUGGUAACAUUUAUCCUAGAUAAAUAGCUGCAAUAACGCAAGUUAUACAAAAUCCGGCUUAUAGACCAUCACAUUAU
rnacentral:RNase_P_RNA from 1 species